rnacentral:rRNA from 1 species
CCAACACUGCAUAUCACCCUGUAGCGCAAGACUGGUUACCCACUAAAGCUAAGCAGGGCUGAGCCUGGUCAGUACCUGGAUGGGAAGCCUCCUGGGAAAACUAGGUCGCUGCUGGA